AGAAGAGCGUCGAUCUGUCGGCCGACAGCAGCCCGGCCGCUCAGAAUGGAGAGAAGGUGAAGAAGAAGAAACUGGACAAGGACAAAGAAUCAACAGAGAAGGAGAAGGAAAU